CUGCACGUUUGCACGAGUUAGAUGCUCUGCCGUUGCUGCCUCCUCCCAGACCCGGGACAUCUUCUUUUGGUUUGCCUCAUCCACGGACCUAGAUCUGGAUCAGGUGCCCGGCGGCUGGCGGACGGUGGCUGGCGGUCCGGCGAGGCAGAGCUCUGUGGCGGCGAGUCGGCGGCAGCUAGGUUGGCCUCGCUAGGCGCUGGCUGCAUGGCUCGAUUUGGGGGUUUACUCGGAUUGCAUGUACGUGUUCGGUGGAUUGGGGCGUGGCCGCUAACAUAUUGGGGCUAUGGGCUGCUACUGGGCUUGUGUUUGACCGUGCAGUCCAGUGCAAGUCCCCGCAUGUAUCAGCCCAUGCGGAAAACGAAUCGUAUUUUUCGUAUACGGGGAUUUCGGCGACCCGGGGCGGCCGACCAUAGUCGCCCCUACCGUGGCGCCGCCACUGAGUGGCAGCACCAUUGCAUGCGCUCGUCGCUGGCUCGGCUGCGUAAUGCCGCCAACCAUAACUUCAGCGGAUGGAAGAUGUAUGCCGCAGCGUCUCUCCCGAUCUCUUUUUCCGAAUGGAUUUGAGGGAGCCUUCAGCCCUUCACAGGAACUUUUUCUUGGAUCUGCUACAAAAUAGAUUGAGAAUUGGGGACUAUUCAUUAGAGGGAUUAGAGUUGGUAUCGUGAUCUUCUGGAAGUAUGUGGUAUGAAAGAGAUGAUGUUAUAUUCAGUAGAGUUGAUAUCCAUUGCCAAAUGAAAAAGCACGAAUGGCCAUUUUGAGUCACUUGGUGACAUGAUGAUUCGAGGAGCAUGACCGGCAAACCUACCUUCAGUUUUAACUUAUGGUCUGGUAUUCCUGGGGACGUUAAGGUGUUGAGGAGCUCAGUAGGCUGCAUGUUCAUCAUGAUGUUGGUACUUGUCAUUGCCUUGCACACUGUGUCCAGGCUUAGGGUAUCUCAAGUUUAAAACCAUCUUCUCCAUAUGGGAACAACAACGGAUAUUGCAUGGACAUGAAUUUCGGGUGGAUCUCUGAUAUCCUUUCUGGCUCCAUAUUUUUGUACUCAACAACAAUGUCACGUCCUUCACUCUCUUCGGUUGGAUCUCUUACUACCAAUGCUGCAACUUCAGAUGCGGAUGGAAGGCAUGCAAGUGCAUUUGGUGAUGACUACUAAUGGACAUUGUCACAUACAUUACAUCUGGAGAUUAAUGUUGUUUAUCUGGCACACACAUGAAGAAUUGCAUCGGGAUAUUACCUGAGGCUGAUGGUGCUGAUGUUGUGUCUUCAGUUCGUUGGACGUUUCUUUGUGCCUGUGAUUGUUUGGGUGUCGCCGGCGUAUAUUGGAUGCAAGUUGCUGGAGUUGUUGCCAUACCUUCAAUUUGUCGGCCGUCUCGUGUGUUUGAUCUUCCCGACAUCAUGAAAAAGUAGCUAUUGAGAAAGUGCAUUAUGGGUCAUUUAUGAAUGUAUGUCUUGUAAAAUUAUGGUUGAAUGAUGUUUAUGUGAUAUAAGCAGAGGGAUGAGUGUAUGUGACCAUACCUCUUGUUUGUUUUCUGAGACUAUGAUCUAGCAAUUUGACUAAUGUAGAUCACCCAAGGAGAAAGUUUUGUGAGAAUAUGUUGGCUGAUAAGGAAGCUAAACUAAUGCACAGAUUAA